rnacentral:rRNA from 1 species
GACGAACGCUGGCGGCGCGCUUAACACAUGCAAGUCGAGCGAAGCGGCGGACGGGUGAGUAAGACGUGAGUAACCUGCCUUAGACAUUGGGAUAGCCUCGGGAAACCGGGCUUAAUACCAAAUGGUCUAAGAUGGACUCGCGUCCCAUUAGCUAGUUGGUGAGGUAAGGGCCCACCAAGGCGACGCUGGGUAGCCGGCCUUAGAGGGUGAACUGCAACAUUGGAACUGGGAAACGUGCCAAACUCUACGGGAGGCAGCAGUGGGGAAUAUUGCACAAUGGAGUGAACUCUGAUGCAGCGACGCCGCGUGAACGAAGAAGGCUUUCGAGUCGUAAAGUUCUUUUAUAUGGGAACCGGUACCAUAAGAAAAAGCCCCGGCUAACUACGUGCCAGCCGCCGCGGUAAUUC